UUUUUACAUACAUGUAUCUGAGGAACUUGAGGAACCUAAGUUAUAGUCUGACUUAGCAUACAAGAUUAUUUGUAUCACUUUUUUUUGGAUAUGUUUCAUGAUUUUGAUAAUUGAGAGAGACACAUUUAAUUUGUUUUGCAGCAUGUUUCAUAUUGAGUACAAGAUCUUGUAGACGGAAUGGAAGUUUUGCAGACUGUGUUCUUAUGCUUUAAUUUGGUCAGCUGUCUACUAAUGACUUCAUAUUUCAUUCUUUUUUGUUGAUACUCAGCAAAAAAUUGUGAUGUUAAAACUUAUCUAUAUUAGGUUGAAGCUUAAAUUGUGAUGUUUCAUAUUGAGUACAGGAUCUUAUAGACUCGAUGGUAGUUUUGCAGGCUGUGUUCUUAUGCUUUAAUUUGGUCAGCUCUCUACUUAAAAUGACUUCAUAUUUCAGUAUUUUUUGUUGAUACUCAGCAAAUUUGAACAAUUAUGUAUCAUUCCUUCUAAUUCUUCUAUGAAAGUUUGUCCUUAGAUUUUCAGACUUUCUCACUCAUCCCGGGGAUAACUUUUUUAUGUAAAACUAACCCACGAGUCAAGGAGGACCAUUAUGCUGCAAAACUCUCCUUCAAGAGAUUAAACACUGCUGCAUGUCUAGGGCUAGGAGAUUUAAUGCUGCUGCAUGCUUAGGUCCGGGUUUAAACGAGGACUUCUGGUUAUGCUGGUAGAGUCCCUUACCAUAUCAACCAGAGAUAAUCUUUUUUACACACAUGUAUCUGAGGAACUUGAGGAACCUUAGCAUACAAGAUUAUUUAUGAAACUAAAAAUCAAUUCAACCAUAUGGGUAUCCCUCAAAGAGUCUGCAACUGGAGCAAGAACUUGACUUAAAGUGGAGCCUAGUUGAGCAGAAGACGUUGCAAUUGGUUUUUGUCGUUGUGAUUGUACUUUCAUCCGGUGAUCUCUAGAGCCU
rnacentral:lncRNA from 1 species